rnacentral:rRNA from 1 species
UACGUAGGGCGCAAGCGUUAUCCGGAAUUAUUGGGCGUAAAGAGCUCGUAGGUGGCUUAGUAAGUCGGGUGUGAAACCUCCAGGCUUAACCUGGAGACGCCAUCCGAUACUGCUAUAGCUUGAGUCCGGUAGGGGAGCGUGGAAUUCCUGGUGUAGCGGUGAAAUGCGCAGAUAUCAGGAGGAACACCAGCGGCGAAGGCGGCGCUCUGGGCCGGUACUGACACUGAGGAGCGAAAGCGUGGGGAGCAAACAGG